CCUACGGGUGGCAGCAGUGGGGAAUAUUGCACAAUGGGGGAAACCCUGAUGCAGCGACGCCGCGUGAGUGAGGAAGUAUUUCGGUAUGUAAAGCCCUAUCAGCAGGGAAGAAAAUGACGGUACUUGACUAAGAAGCCACGGCGAACUAGGUGCCAGUAGCCGCGGUAAUACGUAGGGGGCAAGCGUUAUCGGGAUUUACUGGGGGUAAAGGGAGCGUAGACGGCUAAUCAAGUCAGAAGUGAAAACCAAGGGCUCAACCUUGGGACUGCUAUUGAAACUGAGUAGCCAGAGUGCAGGAGAGGGAAGCGGAAUUCCUGGUGUAGCGGUGAAAUGCGUAGAUAUUAGGAGGAACACCAGUGGCGAAGGCGGCUUACUGGACUGUAACUGACGUUGAGGCUCGAAAGCGUGGGGAGCGAACAGGAUUAGAUACCCGGGUAGUC
rnacentral:rRNA from 1 species